rnacentral:lncRNA from 10 species
GCCCACAUCAACCAGCAGACACAUGAAUGAGUGAGCGCUCUGAUGAUCUCUGCCUACAACCUUUGAGCCAUCCCAGCUGUUGCUGAGUGGAGCAGAGAGAAACAGUCUUCACCAAGCCCUGCCCAGGUUGUACAUCUAUGAGCAAAAUGCUAUUGUUGCUAUUUGAAGCCACUAAGUUUUAAGGCAGCUUGCCACAAAGAUAAGGAUACCUGGAACACUAUGUGUCAAGUCACUGGGCAGAGACAUCAUCUAAUUUAAUCUUUAAAACAGCUGCUUUGGAAGAUAUCCCUGCUUUAUAGAUGCAGAAUUAGGACUUGAAGGACCAAGAUCACAUUGCAAGUAGGGAAGAAGAGAACAAAUCAGUUGGAAGAAACAGAAUGAGCAAAGUCAAGAAGACGUAAAAGCAAGGUGCAUCUGACUUUACAAUUCAAUAGAAUAAAAAA